UGGGAUGCUUCAGGUAUAGCACAAUGUCC
rnacentral:piRNA from 1 species